UAACUGCUAAUUAAUGUGUUUUACUUACAGUGUUUGUCAGCAAUAAGCACUUUCAUUUACAAGACAGGCCUAGAAUAGACAAUGACAUACCAUAUUUUCCGGACUAUAAGCCACUGAGCUGCCACAUUUUACACAGGCUUUGAACCCUGCAGCUUGUAGUCCGGUGCGGCCUAUCUAUGGAUUUUUCGUGAUUUUUGUGAUGUCUAAUACACUUACUAUACACUCGUUGGUGAAAAGGUUGUAGACCGCUGUUGUGUGGCACCACUUUGCUGGGCGGAGGGAUAUGUGAACAGACAUACGGUCACUGGGUAGAAAAGUGGUGUGUUUAUCGCAUGUCCGUCCGCCAGGCAAAUAGUGCCGCAUAACUGAGACAAACAAGAGACAGAGCAAUAGAACAUGACUGGAGAAAGGAAGCUUUUAUACGCAAACCCUCAUUAUAGGGGACAAAAGAAAUACAUGUGAUGCCGCUUUUAAGUUAAAGGCAGUCAAUAUAGCUCUUAACCAAAGAAAUAGAGCUGCUGCAUCUACUGUAGAGGUUUCCUCAGGCCACUAGGGUGGAGUGGGCUAUUGUUGAUGACAUCUUGUUGUGUCACCAUUUUCAGUAUUUUUUUCCCGGGUCAUGUCUUCUCCCAACCUUUACGUGUCGCUUGUAUCGCAUUGCCAACUUUACACCUGUAAGUGGUCACAUUUUAGUUAUUAUUAGUUUUCACAUUAAGUUUAUUAUUGUCAUCGCUGAGAUUUAUGCAUGUUUGUAUGUUUCAGAGCUCCUUCAUCUCUGUCAAUAAACGUUAUGUUAAUAAAAGGUCUGCGUCCC